AAUAUUCGCUACUCUUAGCUAGGCGGAAUUGGGCGAUUAACACGUCGGAAAAAAAACCUCUUAGCAGGGGAUAACAUUUGGAAACCGAUGCUAAUACCGUAUAACAAUGGCAACCGCAGGGUUGGCACUGAAAAGAUGGUCCGGCUAUCACUAAGAGAUGGUCCCGCGGUGCAUUAGUUAGUUGGUGAGGUAAUGGCUCACCAAGACGAUGAUGCAUAGCCGAGUUGAGAAACUGAUCGGCCACAAUGGGACUGAGACACGGCCCAUACUCCUACGGGAGGCAGCAGUAGGGAAUCUUCCACAAUGGGCGAAAGCCUGAUGGAGCAACGCCGCGUGUGUGAUGAAGGGUUUCGGCUCGUAAAACACUGUUGUAAGAGAAGAAUGACAUUGAGAGUAACUGUUCAAUGUGUGACGGUAUCCUACCAGAAAAGAGACGGCUUAAAUACGUGCCAGGCAGCCCGCGGUAAUACGUAUGUUCCAAGCGUUAUCCGGGAUUUAUUGGGCGUAAAGCGAGCGCCAGACGGUUAUUUAAGUCUGGAAGUGAAAGCCCUCAGCUCAACUGAGGAAUUGCUUUGGAAACUGGAUGACUUGAGUGCAGUAGAGGAAAGUGGAAACUCCAUGUGUAGCGGUGAAAUGCGUAGAUAUAUGGAAGAACACCAGUGGCGAAGGCGGCUUUCUGGACUGUAACUGACGUUGAGGCUCGAAAGUGUGGGUAGCAAACAGGAUUAGAUACCCUGGUAGUCCACACCGUAAACGGAUGAGUGCUAGGUGUUUGAGGGUUUCCGCCCUUAAGUGCCGCAGCUAACGCAUUAAGCACUCCGCCUGGGGAGUACGACCGCAAGGUUGAAACUCAAAGGAAUUGACGGGGACCCGCACAAGCGGUGGAGCAUGUGGUUUAAUUCGAAGCAACGCGAAGAACCUUACCAGGUCUUGACAUCCCUUGACAACUCCAGAGAUGGAGCGUUCCCUUCGGGGACAAGGUGACAGGUGGUGCAUGGUUGUCGUCAGCUCGUGUCGUGAGAUGUUGGGUUAAGUCCCGCAACGAGCGCAACCCUUAUUACUAGUUGCCAGCAUUUAGUUGGGCACUCUAGUGAGACUGCCGGUGACAAACCGGAGGAAGGUGGGGAUGACGUCAAAUCAUCAUGCCCCUUAUGACCUGGGCUACACACGUGCUACAAUGGCGUAUACAACGAGUUGCCAACCCGCGAGGGUGAGCUAAUCUCUUAAAGUACGUCUCAGUUCGGAUUGUAGGCUGCAACUCGCCUACAUGAAGUCGGAAUCGCUAGUAAUCGCGGAUCAGCAGGCCGCGGUGAAUACGUUCCCGGGUCUUGUACACACCUUCUCUUGUCAGGCCAUGAGAGUUUGUAACACCCAAAAAGACCGGUGGGGUAAUUCUUUUCAGCGGUAUGGCCUCCAG
rnacentral:rRNA from 1 species